GAUGAACGCUGGCGGCGUGCCUAAUACAUGCAAGUCGAGCGAACAGACGAGGAGCUUGCUCCUCUGACGUUAGCGGCGGACGGGUGAGUAACACGUGGAUAACCUACCUAUAAGACUGGGAUAACUUCGGGAAACCGGAGCUAAUACCGGAUAAUAUAUUGAACCGCAUGGUUCAAUAGUGAAAGACGGUUUUGCUGUCACUUAUAGAUGGAUCCGCGCCGCAUUAGCUAGUUGGUAAGGUAACGGCUUACCAAGGCGACGAUGCGUAGCCGACCUGAGAGGGUGAUCGGCCACACUGGAACUGAGACACGGUCCAGACUCCUACGGGAGGCAGCAGUAGGGAAUCUUCCGCAAUGGGCGAAAGCUUGACGGAGCAACGCCGCGUGAGUGAUGAAGGUCUUCGGAUCGUAAAACUCUGUUAUUAUGGAAGAACAAAUGUGUAAGUAACUAUGCACGUCUUGACGGUACCUAAUCAGAAAGCCACGGCUAACUACGUG
rnacentral:rRNA from 1 species